GCUGCAUGGCUGUCGUCAGCUCGUGUUGUGAAAUGUUGGGUUAAGUCCCGCAACGAGCGCAACCCUUAUCCUUUGUUGCCAGCGAUUAGGUCGGGAACUCAAAGGAGACUGCCAGUGAUAAACUGGAGGAAGGUGGGGAUGACGUCAAGUCAUCAUGGCCCUUACGACCAGGGCUACACACGUGCUACAAUGGCGCAUACAAAGAGAAGCGACCUCGCGAGAGCAAGCGGACCUCAUAAAGUGCGUCGUAGUCCGGAUUGGAGUCUGCAACUCGACUCCAUGAAGUCGGAAUCGCUAGUAAUCGUGGAUCAGAAUGCCACGGUGAAUACGUUCCCGGGCCUUGUACACACCGCCCGUCACACCAUGGGAGUGGGUUGCAAAAGAAGUAGGUAGCUUAACCUUCGGGAGGGCGCUUACCACUUUGUGAUUCAUGACUGGGGUGAAGUCGUAACAAGGUAACCGUAGGGGAACCUGCGGUUGGAUCACCUCCUUACCUUAAAGAA
rnacentral:rRNA from 1 species